UUAUAGAAGUACAUUAUUAAUACCAUGUCAUAGAAGUACAUUGUUAAUACAAUUUUAUAGAAAAAUAUUGUUAAUAUAAUUUCAUAGAAAAACAUUGUAAAUACCAUUUCAUACAAAAUCUCAAAACAAACCCAAAAAAGCCUAGCAAGACAUUCGAUAUCCUUUGCAGCCACCUCCAAUUUGUCUACAGUUUCAUCAGAUACAAUCGCAAAGGCAAAAGGAAAUACCUCUACAAGAAAAGAAAAAAAAACACUGUUAAUACUAUGUCACAGAAAUACACUAUGAAUACUAUAUCAUAGAACUAUCUUCCUAGUAAAAAUCACAUUUUGCAUAUUAUAAACUUCAAGUGCACAGCUAUAUAUAGAGCAUGCAUUUGUUACUAAAAAU
rnacentral:lncRNA from 1 species